GGCGGCGUGCCUAACACAUGCAAGUCGAACGGAGAUUUAGCGCUGACGAGACUUCGGUCAAAUCUUGUUAAAUCUUAGUGGCGGACGGGUGAGUAACGCGUGGGCAACCUGCCUCAUACUGGGGGAUAGCAGUUGGAAACGACUGAUAAUACCGCAUAAGCGCACUAAUGUCGCAUGACACAGUGUGAAAAACUCCGGUGGUAUGAGAUGGGCCCGCGUCAGAUUAGCUAGUUGGUAAGGUAACGGCUUACCAAGGCGACGAUCUGUAGCCGGACUGAGAGGUCGGACGGCCACAUUGGGACUGAGACACGGCCCAAACUCC
rnacentral:rRNA from 1 species